rnacentral:misc_RNA from 1 species
GAUGAAGAACGCAGCGAAAUGCGAUAAGUAGUGUGAAUUGCAGAAUUCAGUGAAUCAUCGAAUCUUUGAACGCACAUUGCGCCCCUUGGUAUUCCAUGGGGCAUGCCUGUUCGAGCGUCAUUUGUACCUUCAAGCUUUGCUUGGUGUUGGGUGUUUGUCCUCUCCUUGGUGGUAGGACUCGCCUUAAAACAAUUGGCAGCCAGUGUUUUGGUAUAGAAGCGCAGCACAAGUCGCGGUUCUAGCCUAACAACGCUGGCGUCCACAAGUACUCUCACUUUUGACCUCGGAUCAGGUAGGGAUACCCGCUGAACUUAAGCAUAUCAAUAAGCGGAGGA